rnacentral:piRNA from 2 species
UUUAAAAGCGGACGAAGUAGGUUAU